rnacentral:lncRNA from 1 species
AAUAUAAUAUGGAUCACUUUAGUGCAAUACCCACCAAUCAUUCUCACACGAGAUAUUAGCGCACCAGUCAUCAUAUCCAUAUUCUACCCUCCCACUCCGUUAAGGUAUUAGGCGCGAAAUGGUAUCAUUACUUAUUGCAUGCUAUUACCCGUCUCAAUCCUAUCAGUCCCAAAGGAGUUUAGGACUACUAUUCACUAGGUGAGGGAGGAUUUUAGACUGACUUUUAGAUUUAAAGGUAAAAGGACUAAAGCGACAUACAAAACACAUAGGACUGCAUAUUAG